rnacentral:rRNA from 1 species
GACGAACGCUGGCGGCGUGCUUAACACAUGCAAGUCGAACGGAAAGGCCCUGCUUUCGUGGGGUGCCCGAGUGGCGAACGGGUGCGUAACACGUGAGUAACCGGCUCUUGACUUUGGGGUAACUUAAGGAAACUGGGGUUACUACCGGAUAGGAGAUCCUGUUGCAUGGUGGGGGUUGGAAAGUUUCGGCGGUUGGGGAUGGACUCGCGGGUUAUCAGCUUGUUGGUGGGGUAGUGGCUUACCCAGGCUUUGACGGGUAGCCGGCCUGGGAGGGUGACCGGGCACAAUGGGACUGAGAGACGGCCCAGACGCCAACGGUGGGCAGAAGUGGGGAAUAUGGCACAAUGGGCGGAAGCCGGAUGCAACAACGCCGCGUGCGGAAUGACGGCCUGUUGGGAAAAAACCGCAUUAGCCUGUGACCAAGCGGGAGUGACGGUAAUGAGUAAAGAAGCACCGGCUAACUACGUG